UACGUAGGGGGCUAGCGUUGUCCGGAUUUAUUGGGCGUAAAGAGCGUGUAGGCGGCCAGGUAGGUCCGUUGUGAAAACUCGAGGCUCAACCUCGAGACGUCGGCGGAAACCCUCUGGCUAGAGUCCGGAAGAGGAGAGUGGAAUUCCUGGUGUAGCGGUGAAAUGCGCAGAUAUCAGGAGGAACACCGGUGGCGAAGGCGGAUCUCUGGGCCGAUACUGACGCUGAGGAGCGAAAGCGUGGGGAGCGAACAGG
rnacentral:rRNA from 1 species